GAGACUAGGGAAUAUAUCCUUUCAAAGGAUUCAAAGGCAAGUAGCUUUGGCAAGAGGGUAAAAUCGAUUGAGUUCGGAAAGGUUCGUCAAAGGGUCGUCCGACUGUGUAAGCGGAUCGUGGAUCAAAGUGGAACUUUUGCUCUACGAGGGAAUAUUGCUUCGUAGAAAAGAAGAUUUUAUCGCGGUAUCUUCUUGGAUUUCAUCUUCUUUCACCCUCAAAAGGAUUUAACACAGUCGAAAAGAGAAAAUGAAAAUCGAUAAUAACGUUGAUAGUGUUCUUGGAUAUCGAAUUAAUAUUAAUUAUGAUAUCAAUUAGUUAAAAAAUUACAUAUACUAUAAUAAUAUUUAUUUCAAUGCCAUGGGUGAAAUUGGGAACGAUAAGGAAAAUCUUAAAGCGAUUAGCAAUGAUUCCAAAAAGGAAGAUCUGCGAAUCGAUCUUGAAGAAGAAGAGGAAGCAAAAGGAGAUGUAGGAGAUGAAGAAUACGAAGAUAGCCCUGCAAGACGUAAUUAUUAAUGGAGUUAGAAUUAUUUUCGCUAGUACUUGAUGGUAAACUGAUUCGAUUUAUACGUAAAUACAUGUAUGUAUAUACACACAUACACACAUAUACAUAUAUGUAUAUGUAUAUAUAUAUAUAUCUUUCUCCGUACCGUGUACUUUCUAUGUACUAAAGUCUAAUAUUUAUAUACAUAUUUAUUUAUAUAUUGGUCUACAAAUUGAUAAACUAUCUAUAUCUUUCUGAGAAUCAUCACGGAUACAAAUAAAAGACGGAUGUAAAAUUAAAAAAGAAAUUAAAAGAUAAGUUAAAAUGAAAAAUGAAGUUAAUAUUAAAGAGGAAAGGAAACAUUGGGAAAAGAAGCGAACGAAUGUGUAUUGGGAAAGUGGAACAAUUGAUAUUGAUUUCAUAUUUUCAUAUAUUUGUCUGGGAUAGAUAAGUGGAAACUCGAUUUUUGAUAAAUAUUUGCUGCUUCUGAAUAUCAAAAUAAGAAUUCAAAAGAAAAAGAAAAACUAAAAGCUCGACGAAAUUUGGACCAACUUAUUUUUAAUCGAUACGACAACGUGUCCAAAACGACAAAACUCCAAGAAAAAAAAGAUGAUUAGUAUAUAAACCGUAGUAGCUGAAAAUUGGCCGCAUAUCUGGAAUCGAUAUAUUUUUCAGGUUCUUGGAUAUAGUUUUCGAUGCGGUGUUACCAUACACAUUGCUAGAAGCUGAUAUUCCUUAUAUACACGACGAGAAGAGACGCACGUAUAAUUCAAGGAACCAUUAAAAAGGAAUAUUAAUGGUUACUACGAGCAUCUAUCCCUGGCAAUCUGCUGCGGCAGCGAGAGAGCUCCGAUGUUUACUCGUCGGAGUAGAAAAGAUGACUGAUCCGGUAAUCAUCCAAAUCAAUCAUUUGUUUACUUUACACAUUACCAAUGACCGCCAUUUCAAAAUUUAAAUCUAAUAGAAAAUAAAUUACAAUUAUUUGAUAUUUCGUCGGUGUUCCGCGGCGUGUAAUGUUUAACGGAAUUUACUAUUGCUUAAAGAGUAAUUUAUUUAAUUUCUCGUACAUCUAUAUCCUUUAAAUGAAUUUAAAAUUAUCAAAAGUAUUUAGUUUGAAGUUUUCACAUUUAGAAAAAGAGGUCAAUCGUCAAAGUUAUUCAAAGGUUCGUUUUUAUUAACAUUACACGCAGCGGCGCAACUCAGAUGCAACCAUCCGGAGAUCAAAAUUAUACGUUAUUGAAAUUUUAAGUUAAAAUUAUUUUGUUUCUCACGCGUUAGGACCUUCGUAAUAUUUAAGCGAAUUCGUUUAAAUGUUACAAUCAUGGAAAUAAUUCGAUUAUAUAUUAUUUCUAAGAAGACAUCAAGUUGAAGUACUUAAAGAUUAUUAUAAAAAUAAUAAUAUUUAAUUUAUCAAAUUACCAAGAAAUAUGAUGCAAAUUCUUCAUUCUAUCCGUAGAGAGAUAAAAAGCAUCGAAUGAUUCAUAUUUUGCUUUCCUUCCGUAUUUUCCCUUUGUACUCGGCGUUCUCUCGGACGUUAGCUAGCAACAACGCAGCGGCAUUACGUCGCACAAAUGUGGUAUAUAGUGUAACAUAUUAUAUAUUUUCACUUUGGUACCAAGGAAUAUAUUAUAGUAGUAUUUGAUUUAUAUGAAUUUAUUGACAAAUUUAUUCAAUAGAAUCGACAUUUUAUUCUAUAUAAUUUUCUACGAUAUUUAUGACGAGUUUUCUAACAAUUCUUGUACACCAUUUUCAUUGCUAUCAUUAUCUAUGAGAUUUUCUUAUUUUUCUGAUGAAUUUUCCGAGAGAACAUCCGAGUGCAAGGGGUUAAAAAGAAAAUUAAAGCAUGAAUUAAAAUCCAAAAAGUAAUUGAAAUUAAAAGAAAAAUAAUCGUUACAAAAUAGACUUAAAAAAAAAGUAAACAAAUAUUUCAGAAAUAUUCAGAAAGCAUAUCAAAUGGUUACAAUUUCAUAUUUCUAUAUGCGUGUGUUAGAUGUAAACUCGAUUUUUGAUUUAUAUUUACUUUUCUCUUAACUUUUCAGAAAUUUUCCCAAAAAUUUAUUAAUCACGCUCGGAAAAAAGUUAAAUAAGAAAAAUCUCAUUUCUUAAUUGAAUUCUCAAUACAUAUUUGUUUGCUUUUUUCUUUCAUGUUCUUUUUUUUUUUAAUUAAACUUUUUUCUUUGAUUUUAAUUUAUCGUUUACUUUUCUUUUUGAUUUUAAUUUUACUUAUAUAUUUAGAGUUGCAUACAUCGGAAUAAAUAAUUUAUCAACAUGUAGACAAUUAUAUGAAUAAGUAUGUAUGUAAACAUGAUUAAAUUUUAGUAUAUAGUAAGAUAUAUAUAUAUAUGCAUAUAUAUAUAUACACAUAUAUGUGUGUUUGUGGGUUUAAACACACAUACAAAACGUAUAUAUAGGAAGAAAUAUUAUAUAAAAUUAUCGCUAAACUAAUUGAAAACAAUAUGUAAUGAACUUAAAAACGACUAGCGAAGAUAGUUCUAUGUCCCUCUAUUAAUAAUUACAUCUUACUCAACUGACUAUAUAAAAACAAUUAGCCCUGAAUAAUGCGUUGAAAUUGAUAGUCUAAUAGUAAAUUGAAUCUUCUCGAAAUCAUCUUCUUUAAAAUGAUAUAUAUGAUAUACAUACCAUUAUCGCGGCUAAUUGGGGGCUUAUAUAUUAUCUUGGAUGUUCCCUAUUCUGGGUCUUCGAAAAACUUGCAUGGAAGACUACCAGAUUCAGAAUCAAUAUCAUGUAAUCCAUUUCAAUGAAUACAAUAAACUCAAAUAUCAAAUCAA